rnacentral:rRNA from 1 species
GAUGAACGCUGGCGGCGUGCCUAAUACAUGCAAGUCGAGCGAACAGAUAAGGAGCUUGCUCCUUUGACGUUAGCGGCGGACGGGUGAGUAACACGUGGGUAACCUACCUAUAAGACUGGGAUAACUUCGGGAAACCGGAGCUAAUACCGGAUAAUAUUUCGAACCGCAUGGUUCGAUAGUGAAAGAUGGUUUUGCUAUCACUUAUAGAUGGACCCGCGCCGUAUUAGCUAGUUGGUAAGGUAACGGCUUACCAAGGCGACGAUACGUAGCCGACCUGAGAGGGUGAUCGGCCACACUGGAACUGAGACACGGUCCAGACUCCUACGGGAGGCAGCAGUAGGGAAUCUUCCGCAAUGGGCGAAAGCCUGACGGAGCAACGCCGCGUGAGUGAUGAAGGUCUUCGGAUCGUAAAACUCCGUUAUUAGGGAAGAACAUACGUGUAAGUAACUGUGCACGUCUUGACGGUACCUAAUCAGAAAGCCACGGCUAACUACGUG